AAGUCGUAACAAGGUUUCCGUAGGUGAACCUGCGGAAGGAUCAUUAUUGAAAUAAACCUGAUGAGUUGCUGCUGGUUCUCUAGGGAGCAUGUGCACACUUGUCGUCUUUAUAUUUCCACCUUGUGCACCUUUUGUAGACCUGGAUAUCUCUCUGAAUGCACACAAGCAUUUGGGUUUGAGGGGUUGACUUUUUUGGUCUCCCUUUAUAUUUCCAGGCCUAUGUUUCUUUCAUAUACCCCACUUGUGUUAUAGAAUGUAAUAAAAUGGGCCUUUGUGCCUGUAAAGCUAUACAACUUUCAGCAACGGAUCUCUUGGCUCUC
rnacentral:misc_RNA from 1 species